UUCCGGUUGAUCCUGUCGGACCUGACUGCUAUCGGAUUGAUACUAAGCCAUGCGAGUCUUUGUAGCAAUACAAGGCAGACGGCUCAGUAACGCGUAGUCAACCUAACCUAUGGAUGGGAAUAACCUCGGGAAACUGAGAAUAAUGCCCAAUAGAACACUAUACCUGGAAUGGUUUGUGUUCCAAAUGAUUUAUCGCCGUAGGAUGGGACUGCGGCCUAUCAGUUUGUUGGUGAGGUAAUGGCCCACCAAGACUAUUACAGGUACGGGCUCUGAGAGGAGUAGCCCGGAGAUGGGUACUGAGACACGGACCCAGGCCCUAUGGGGCGCAGCAGGCGAGAAAACUUUGCAAUGUGCGAAAGCACGACAAGGUUAAUCCGAGUGAUUUGUGCUAAACGAAUCUUUUGUUAGUCCUAGAAACACUAACGAAUAAGGGGUGGGCAAGUUCUGGUGUCAGCCGCCGCGGUAAAACCAGCACCUCAAGUGGUCAGGAUGAUUAUUGGGCCUAAAGCAUCCGUAGCCGGCUCUGUAAGUUUUCGGUUAAAUCUGUACGCUCAACGUACAGGCUGCCGGGAAUACUGCAGAGCUAGGGAGUGGGAGAGGUAGACGGUACUCGGUAGGAAGGGGUAAAAUCCUUUGAUCUAUUGAUGACCACCUGUGGCGAAGGCGGUCUACCAGAACACGUCCGACGGUGAGGGAUGAAAGCUGGGGGAGCAAACCGGAUUAGAUACCCG
rnacentral:rRNA from 1 species